AGUGAACGCUGGCGGUAGGCCUAACACAUGCAAGUCGAACGGCAGCACAGUAAGAGCUUGCUCUUACGGGUGGCGAGUGGCGGACGGGUGAGGAAUACAUCGGAAUCUACUUUUUCGUGGGGGAUAACGUAGGGAAACUUACGCUAAUACCGCAUACGACCUACGGGUGAAAGCAGGGGAUCUUCGGACCUUGCGCGAUUGAAUGAGCCGAUGUCGGAUUAGCUAGUUGGCGGGGUAAAGGCCCACCAAGGCGACGAUCCGUAGCUGGUCUGAGAGGAUGGUCAGCCACACUGUAACUGAGGCACGGUCCAGACUCCUACGGGAGGCAGCAGUGGGGAAUAUUGGGCAAGGGGCGCAAGCCUGAUCCAGCCAUACCGCGUGGGUGAAGAAGGCCUUCGGGUUGUAAAGCCCUUUUGUUGGGAAAGAAAAGCAGCAGGUUAAUACCCCGCUGUUCUGACGGUACCCAAAGAAUAAGCACCGGCUAACUUCGUG
rnacentral:rRNA from 1 species